AUUGAACGCUGGCGGAAUGCUUUACACAUGCAAGUCGAGCGGCAGCGCGGCCUUCGGGCUGGCGGCGAGCGGCGAACGGGUGAGUAAUGCAUCGGAACAUGCCCAGUCGUGGGGGAUAACACUUCGAAAGAAGUGCUAAUACCGCAUACGUCCUGAGGGGGAAAGCGGGGAAUCGCAAGACCUCGCGCGAUUGGAGUGGCCGAUGUCAGAUUAGCUAGUUGGUGGGGUAAAGGCCUACCAAGGCGACGAUCUGUAGCUGGUCUGAGAGGAUGAUCAGCCACACUGGGACUGAGACACGGCCCAGACUCCUACGGGAGGCAGCAGUGGGGAAUUUUGGACAAUGGGGGCAACCCUGAUCCAGCCAUUCCGCGUGAGUGAAGAAGGCCUUCGGGUUGUAAAGCUCUUUCGGCAGGAACGAAACGGUGGGCUCUAACAUAGUCCGCUAAUGACGGUACCUGAAGAAGAAGCACCGGCUAACUACGUG
rnacentral:rRNA from 1 species